rnacentral:rRNA from 1 species
AUUGAACGCUGGCGGCAUGCCUUACACAUGCAAGUCGAACGGCAGCAUGAUCUAGCUUGCUCGAUUGAUGGCGAGUGGCGAACGGGUGAGUAAUACAUCGGAACGUGCCCUGUAGUGGGGGAUAACUAGUCGAAAGAUUAGCUAAUACCGCAUACGACCUGAGGGUGAAAGUGGGGGACCGCAAGGCCUCAUGCUAUAGGAGCGGCCGAUGUCUGAUUAGCUAGUUGGUGAGGUAAAGGCUCACCAAGGCGACGAUCAGUAGCUGGUCUGAGAGGACGAUCAGCCACACUGGGACUGAGACACGGCCCAGACUCCUACGGGAGGCAGCAGUGGGGAAUUUUAGACAAUGGGCGAAAGCCUGAUCCAGCAAUGCCGCGUGUGUGAAGAAGGCCUUCGGGUUGUAAAGCACUUUUGUCCGGAAAGAAAUGGCUCUGGUUAAUACCUGGGGUCGAUGACGGUACCGGAAGAAUAAGGACCGGCUAACUACGUG